AUCCCUGAGCUUAACUUAGGAAUUGCAUUCGAUACUGGGAAGCUAGAGUAUGGGAGAGGAUGGUAGAAUUCCAGGUGUAGCGGUGAAAUGCGUAGAGAUCUGGAGGAAUACCGAUGGCGAAGGCAGCCAUCUGGCCUAAUACUGACACUGAGGUGCGAAAGCAUGGGGAGCAAACAGGAUUAGAUACCCUGGUAGUCCAUGCCGUAAACGAUGAGGACUCGCUGUUGGUCUGUCAAGGAUCAGCGGCUUAGGGAAACCGUUAAGUCCUCCACCUGGGGAGUACGCCGGCAACGGUGAAACUCAAAGGAAUUGACGGGGACCCGCACAAGCGGUGGAUGAUGUGGUUUAAUUCGAUGCAACGCGAAAAACCUUACCUACCCUUGACAUGUCUGGAAUUCCGCAGAGAUGUGGAAGUGCUCGAAAGAGAACCAGAACACAGGUGCUGCAUGGCCGUCGUCAGCUCGUGUCGUGAGAUGUUGGGUUAAGUCCCGCAACGAGCGCAACCCUUGUCAUUAGUUGCUACGAAAGGGCACUCUAAUGAGACUGCCGGUGACAAACCGGAGGAAGGUGGGGAUGACGUCAGGUCAUCAUGGCCCUUAUGGGUAGGGCUACACACGUCAUACAAUGGCCGGUACAGAGGGCUGCCAACCCGCGA
rnacentral:rRNA from 1 species